ACAGAUAAACACGGAGGCACGGAAAGAACAAGUAGACAGGAGGAGAGGCUUAUCAUCUGUGCAGGGGAAAUGAAUUACCUCUGAUUUGCACAACACUGGACCACCGAGGCAGACUCUUCCUGUAUAUUUUCAAUACUCCGUGUAUGGAUGAAAUAUAAGGAGCAGCCUCAGCCACUUCUGGUGGAUGCCCCCCCCCUCCCCCGUCACAUGCGCACAGCUGUUCCUGACGGAGGGGAUGAUGUAGUCAUGGUGCGUGUCCACCCUACCCAUCACAUUGCACGCGGCGUGUCUGCGUGUGCCUCCAAGACAGCUCUGUGUGAACAGUAUUGG